GUGCUCGCUUCCGCAGCACAUAUACUAAAAUUGGAACAAUACAGAGAUUAGCAUGGCUCCUGUGCAAAGAUGACCCGCAA
ensembl:snRNA Gm22597 predicted gene, 22597